rnacentral:rRNA from 2 species
UGACCUCGGAUCAGACGUGAAUACCCGCUGAACUUAAGCAUAUCA